ACUAUAAUCUGCUCCAUGUGUAUCGUCUUCUCCAGCGGCGCAUGAGAAUAGGAAGGAAGCAAAGCAAUGGCGAUCCUUCUACGUCUCCUCCUCCUAACGAUGGAUCUAACGCUCGCCGGGAUCUCCCUCGCGUUUGCUUUCGUGAUCUUCGCCUUCGUCGCCGCUGUUCUCUGCUCCGCCGCCUUCAUCCACAACGCCAAGGCGCUCCCCCUUUAGCCCUGAUUCCGCGUGCCUCCUUUUCAUUCGGUUGAUAGAUCAAAGAGCAGAGUGGUUUGAUGGACUUAGAAUUCCGACACCAGAACAAUGAUAAAAUCCAAGCUCCUGUAUGGCUGUUUUUAGUUCUAUUGAAAAAAAACACAUGUAACAUGUGCAUUCCUCCACAUAUCUGUGUUUAGUCUCCAUUGGCACACAUGAUCAUUAAUAGUAUAAUGAAAAGUUGAGCUUCUAAUGUUU